GAUGAUCCCAGCUUGCUGGGGGAUUAGUGGCGAACGGGUGAGUAACACGUGAGUAACCUGCCCUUGACUCUGGGAUAAGCCUGGGAAACUGGGUCUAAUACCGGAUAUGACUGUCUGACGCAUGUCAGGUGGUGGAAAGCUUUUGUGGUUUUGGAUGGACUCGCGGCCUAUCAGCUUGUUGGUGGGGUAAUGGCCUACCAAGGCGACGACGGGUAGCCGGCCUGAGAGGGUGACCGGCCACACUGGGACUGAGACACGGCCCAGACUCCUACGGGAGGCAGCAGUGGGGAAUAUUGCACAAUGGGCGCAAGCCUGAUGCAGCGACGCCGCGUGAGGGAUGACGGCCUUCGGGUUGUAAACCUCUUUCAGUAGGGAAGAAGCGAAAGUGACGGUACCUGCAGAAGAAGCGCCGGCUAACUACGUGCCAGCAGCCGCGGUAAUACGUAGGGCGCAAGCGUUAUCCGGAAUUAUUGGGCGUAAAGAGCUCGUAGGCGGUUUGUCGCGUCUGCUGUGAAAGACCGGGGCUCAACUCCGGUUCUGCAGUGGGUACGGGCAGACUAGAGUGCAGUAGGGGAGACUGGAAUUCCUGGUGUAGCGGUGAAAUGCGCAGAUAUCAGGAGGAACACCGAUGGCGAAGGCAGGUCUCUGGGCUGUAACUGACGCUGAGGAGCGAAAGCAUGGGGAGCGAACAGGAUUAGAUACCCUGGUAGUCCAUGCCGUAAACGUUGGGCACUAGUGUGGGGGACAUUCCACGUUUUCCGCGCCGUAGCUAACGCAUUAAGUGCCCCGCCUGGGGAGUACGGCCGCAAGGCUAAAACUCAA
rnacentral:rRNA from 1 species